GACGAACGCUGGCGGCGUGCUUAACACAUGCAAGUCGAACGGUUGAGAGGUGGGAGUUGAGAGGUUAGAAGUGGGAAAAGAAAAAGUCUCACAUCCAACUUCUCACAGUCUCACUUCUCAAUAGUGGCGGACGGGUGAGUAACGCGUGGGUAACCUGCCCUUAACACCGGGACAACAGCGGGAAACUGCUGCUAAUACCGGAUAAUCUCAAGAGAAGGCAUCUUCUUUUGAGGAAAGGUGGCCUCUGAAUAUGCUACCGAUUAAGGAUGGACCCGCGUCUGAUUAGCUAGUUGGUAGGGUAGUGGUCUACCAAGGCGACGAUCAGUAGCCGGCCUGAGAGGGUGACCGGCCACACUGGGACUGAGACACGGCCCAGACUCCUACGGGAGGCAGCAGUGGGGAAUCUUCCGCAAUGGGCGAAAGCCUGACGGAGCAACGCCGCGUGAAUGAAGAAGGCCUUCGGGUCGUAAAGUUCUGUUGAAAGGGAAGAAGUCUCUUUAUGCGAAUAGU
rnacentral:rRNA from 1 species